UGGGGGAUAUUGCACAAUGGGCGAAAGCCUGAUGCAGCGACGCCGCGUGGUGGAUGAAGGCCUUCGGGUUGUAAACUUCUUUUGCUCUGAACAAGGCGCACCAUGGGGUGUGUUGAGUGUAGGGGUUGAUUAGCGCCGGCUAACUACGUGCCAGCAGCCGCGGUAAUACGUAGGGCGCGAGCGUUGUCCGGAAUUAUUGGGCGUAAAGGGCGUGUAGGUGGCUGGUUGCGUCUGUCGUGAAAGCUCAUGGCUUAACUGUGGGUUUGCGGUGGGUACGGGCUGGCUUGAGUGCAGUAGGGGGGGCUGGAAUUCCUGGUGUGGGUGUGGAAUGCGCAGGUAUCAGGAGGAAUACCGGUGGCGAAGGCGGGUCUCUGGGCUGUUACUGACACUGAGGAGCGAGAGCAUGGGGAGCGAGCAGG
rnacentral:rRNA from 1 species